rnacentral:sRNA from 1 species
GGUAUUGUGUGUAUUUGUAUAUAGAGUACCUCGUAUAUGACUAGAGCCGAGUAAGAAGACAGUGAUCAGUACUAGGCUUGACCUUGACGUGAAAGCCAGUAUUCAGAAGGAAUCAGAAGGGCUUGAUGAACUGCGCGCUCGCUUAAUAAUAUAAACGAGACUGUGCUCGGCCUUCGUGCUUAAUCCACUCAACACCUGUGCACCUUAUCGAAGUUAGUAGUCUUUCCUCCUUAGUUGGAGCCGCCGGGGUUGACUUUGUUAGUAGUGUUUCGACGCGAAAGCAUAUGGUCGGCCUUGGCUGGGAUUGACGAACACUUUGACUUCAUCAUACACACUUUAAUUGUCUUGUAAAAUGUAAUGCUCCUUGUGGGCGAAAUGAAAUACAACUUUCAACAACGGAUCUCUUGGCUCUCGCAUCGAUGAAGAACGCAGCGAAAUGCGAUAAGUAAUGUGAAUUGCAGAAUUCAGUGAAUCAUCGAAUCUUUGAACGCACCUUGCGCCCCUUGGUAUUCCGAGGGGCAUGCCUGUUUGAGUGUCAUGUUAACAUCAAACCCCAUGCUUGUAAAGGCUCGGGGGCUUGGAUUUGGAGGGUUUGUGCCGGCCUGCUUCAUUGUCAGUUGUCGGCUCCUCUUAAAUGGAUUAGCUGGACUUUGGUCCUGCGUGUCGGUGUGAUAGUUUAUUCACCCAAUCGGCUUUCCUAAAUGGGUCUUGCUUCCUAAUUGAUCAUCGGACAAAGGAUCUUUUAACAGGCCGUUUCUUUGAACUCCUUUUAUGGACCCCUCAAAUUCCAGGGUUAUGCGACACUUAACCCGCUCGACACA